UCUCUCUUUUUCCCUCCCCCCUCCCUCUCUAUCUCCCCUUUUGUUGUACAUCCUAGAAAGGCACGGUACGACCAUACUGCCAAGCAAUCAAUACAAUCCUAGUAUUGGUACAACCAUCCUUGGUUCAUCUUGAUGCUUCCUUCAUUCUCCACCAAAUACAUGAAGUUGUUGAUUGGUAGCAUCACUUCCCUUGUACUUUGUAGGUACACGAACAAGGGUUUGUCUCCAAUUAGAUGACUUGAGCACCUGAAGUCAGUGAUCAAAUCCUUCUUGUAGUUAAUAUGGUGAAGGCAUAUUCUAUUGGCCUCCACUUCAACAAAUGUAAAUUACGGUUCUUAAUGAAGGUGCUUGUUCAUGGUAAUGGUGGCAAGACAAAAAUCUUAAUCUCUACUCCCUCUAUUAUCAUCACAGUUGGAGGCCUUGUUUGGGUGCUGGAAGCCACACUCUGCCUGACAGGGAACAAGGAGGAGGAUCUCCAGUGCAGAGAGGCCAAAGAAAGUGGGAGUUGGAGAGAUUCAGGAGGCUCGAUGUUUCCCUCCAUUUUGAUUCUUCAGAGAUUACAGAUUCCACCUGCAAGGCGAUCUGCCUUGUCCCCAAAAAAUAGGAAUUUCGAAUGUAGUUGAUGGGCAUACAAGGUCUUCCAGAAUCCAAAGAGCUCACAAAGUGACACCUGACCUUGCCAAUCAGAGGAGGCAUCAAGCAUUUGGGCCCCACUACCAUCAGUUGCUUUCUUUGCUUGGAAUGAGGUGGUGGACAGAUAGUAACCACACAAGGCACUGAGGUGGUGGACAAACAGCAACCACACAGGGGACUGUGCAGGACACCAUGCUAUUAGUGGAAAUGAAUCUCACCAGAACUCUUCAUAAACUAAUAUGCAUACUCUCUGCAGUUAUACUAGUUUAAAGACUUUAGUUAAAGACAUCACCACCCACUCUGAACUUUCAUGUUCUUUAUACCUGUGGCAGAAGGUUCUCUUUGAUAAUUUAAUCUGCUACAAAGACAAUCCGCCCGAUCUCUUUAAGAAGAAAAACUUAAUCAACCCCACUUAAUAGCAGUGCAAUGAUGAUCGGUUGAGAGCUCUUUGUUUUUCAUGCAAUGACUUUUGAUCU